rnacentral:rRNA from 1 species
AUUGAACGCUGGCGGAAUGCUUUACACAUGCAAGUCGAACGGCAGCACGGGGGCAACCCUGGUGGCGAGUGGCGAACGGGUGAGUAAUACAUCGGAACGUGCCCAGUCGUGGGGGAUAACGUAGCGAAAGUUACGCUAAUACCGCAUACGAUCUAUGGAUGAAAGCGGGGGACCGUAAGGCCUCGCGCGAUUGGAGCGGCCGAUGUCAGAUUAGGUAGUUGGUGGGGUAAAGGCCUACCAAGCCGACGAUCUGUAGCUGGUCUGAGAGGACGACCAGCCACACUGGGACUGAGACACGGCCCAGACUCCUACGGGAGGCAGCAGUGGGGAAUUUUGGACAAUGGGCGCAAGCCUGAUCCAGCCAUUCCGCGUGCAGGACGAAGGCCUUCGGGUUGUAAACUGCUUUUGUACGGAACGAAAAGGUCCUGGUUAAUACCCGGGGCUCAUGACGGUACCGUAAGAAUAAGCACCGGCUAACUACGUGCCAGCA